rnacentral:tRNA from 1 species
GAUUAGGGGUUGGAGUAAUUGGAUUAUGAUUACGAAUCAUAAGGGGCUUAUAUG